AGUGAACGCUGGCGGUAGGCCUAACACGUGCAAGUCGAACGGCAGCACAGUAAGAGCUUGCUCUUACGGGUGGCGAGUGGCGGACGGGUGAGGAAUACAUCGGAAUCUACUUUUUCGUGGGGGAUAACGUAGGGAAACUUACGCUAAUACCGCAUACGACCUACGGGUGAAAGCAGGGGAUCUUCGGACCUUGCGCGAUUGAAUGAGCCGAUGUCGGAUUAGCUAGUUGGCGGGGUAAAGGCCCACCAAGGCGACGAUCCGUAGCUGGUCUGAGAGGAUGAUCCGCCACACUGGAACUGAGACACGGUCCAGACUCCUACGGGAGGCAGCAGUGGGGAAUAUUGGACAAUGGGCGCAAGCCUGAUCCAGCCAUACCGCGUGGGUGAAGAAGGCCUUCGGGUUGUAAAGCCCUUUUGUUGGGAAAGAAAAGCAGCAGGUUAAUACCCCGCUGUUCUGACGGUACCCAAAGAAUAAGCACCGGCUAACUUCGUG
rnacentral:rRNA from 1 species